rnacentral:lncRNA from 1 species
AUGCCGGUCAUGCCCAUCCCGCGGCGGGUGCGCUCCUUCCACGGCCCGCACACCACCUGCCUGCACGCGGCCUGCGGGCCGGCGCGCACCUCCCGCCUGGCGCGCACUAAGUACAACAACUUCGACGUCUACAUCCGGGCGCGCUGGCUCUACGGCUUCAUCCGCUUCCUGCUCUACUUUAGUUGCAGCCUGUUCACGGCCACGCUGUGGGGCGCGCUGGCCGCCCUCUUCUGCCUGCAGUACCUGGGCGUGCGCGUCCUGCUGCGCUUCCAGCUCAAGCUGUCGGUGCUGCUGCUGCUGCUUGGCCGCCGGCGCGUCGACUUCCGCCUCCUGAACGAGCUGCUCAUCUACGGGAUCCGAGUAACCGUGCUGCUGGUUGGGGGCCUGGGCUGGUGCUUCAUGGUCUUCGUGGACAUGUGA